GCAUUGCUGAAGAGUCCCAUAAUAGGACGAAACGGCAGUCUAGUGC
rnacentral:hammerhead_ribozyme from 1 species